GACAGAGGAUGCAAACGUUGUUCGGAAUCACUGGGCAUAAAGCGCACGUAGGCGGUCUGUUAAGUCAGGUGUGAAAGCCCCCGGCUCAACCGGGGAAUUGCAUUUGAUACUGGCAGGCUAGAGAACGGUAGGGGUGAGUGGAACUCCAGGUGGAGCGGUGAAAUGCGUAGAUAUCUGGAGGAACACCGGUGGCGAAAGCGGCUCACUGGACCGUAACUGACGCUGAGGUGCGAAAGCUAGGGUAGCAAACGGG
rnacentral:rRNA from 1 species